UUUCAUUUCUUCUUGGUGGUUGUGUGCAUGCGGUGGGAUUGUGAGUGCGUGUGCGAGCCGUCGGCAAUGCUGACUUCUUCCGAGUGUGGUCUUCCAGGCGGAGGGUUGUGUGUCCGAGUGUGAUGGUGUCCGCGGUCUUUGGGCUGUUGAUUUGGAUUCUUCGAGCCCUCCUGCGUUUUCAUCGCUGUAUACGAUUAUGCUCGUUUUUCCUUCUCGACAAGAGUCUGGCUCUGCGUGUUGGGUUGUGUGGCCUUUGCGACUGUAUUUGGGUGGUUUCGUUGUUGUGUCGGGCAUAUGUGAUCCUGACUACGUUAGAUGUGUGUCCUUGAACGAUUGCGUUCUGAUUUCGUUGUACCGUGUUGGCCAGUGUGCGGGCCUGACCAUGUCGGCUUGGAGGGCAGCGCUGGGUUGUGCUUACUUUGCUUCCCUUCUGUGGGGCUGGACCGUGUGUGGUCCUGUCCGUACUGGGUUGUGUGCCUGUGUGCUUGUGUCCUUUAGAAGUGUAUUUGCAGAUCGGUGGGGGGUGGAGGGGAGGGCGAGCAGGAGAUGGAACCGCAAGUUGAGGAGGCGGCAAGGGGGCGGGGAGAGGGAUUUCACAUUUUAUUCCAAAUUAUGAUGUAUUCGGAAGCCAGUGUUGGCUUGGAUGGGCAGACGGAGCCCGAUCGGCGGCUGCUCUGUCCAGAGGCCGGUCCGUGCCUCGGUGUUUGAGGGGUUUGUUAGCGAGUGGGAGGUUCUUCCAGGCUCGAAGCUGAGCAGCGCUCGCCGAGGCCCGCGCCUUCACGCCCAUAGCCGCUGGCUUCGGUUUCCGCCGCAUCCAGGCUUCAUCCAUUUCUGGUCAGUUUCGCAGGUACCUCCGCGGGGUCUGCGGUCUCGAGAGACCUGGAGAAGACAAUGGGCGCAUUCUCCGGGUUUCGCUCCUGGGGUGGGGACCCUCAGGUUAAUCUACAAAGAACACUUUUCCAUCCCUUCCCCGGGUGAGCGACAUUGCGGUGUGGGUCAGGUAUCCGUCGCAUGGGUGACCAGAGCCAGGCUUUGUGGAGGGAUGGGGUCAGUGCUGCCCUCGCUGUAUAAAAAUGGAUUUUGUUUUGCCAGUUAUUGUUGUUAUUAAUGUCAUCAUCAUCAUCAUCAUCAUCAUCAUCAUCAUUCUAUUUAAUUAAAGUAAUCGUUAAGUAGCGAAGUGGCUUGUCCAACCUUUUAGCUUCUUAGGAGCGAUAACAAAGCAGCCCGGUCCCCCCCAACCAGCUCUAUAUUUUUAAGUUGCUGGGUUUGAGGUAAGGAAAGAAAAUGGAGAGAGGAACGGGGCACAGAGACGCUGUCAUAAAGCAAAAAUUAACCCGGACCUAAGACACGGGAAUGAGUGGAUUCCCCCCUCCCCCACCAUCUGGAUUGGAAGAGGAGAAAGAAAAUCUCCCGCAUUGGACUGAAACCCCAGGGAAGAAUUAUUCCUAUAUUUCCACCAAAGCCAGAGCAAAAAGGAGUCCUUUGGAAUUAAUCCAGGAUUUCGAUGUGUAAUCAUAAACUGGACAAUUUAGGCAAAACAAAUUAAAUAAAACCCUUUGGAGAAGAAAAAAAUGCAACCUAGAUCCCCCUGUCUUACACACUGGGGAGCAGUAUUGGAUUUUACCCUCCCUGCCUUUGCCUUGUUUAUUGCUGCAAGGAAUUAGAAUUCUCCUGUACUCUGAACACUGAAAAAAUGAAAAUCAUUGUGUGGAGAUGGUUGAAAGGAAGGUGGCGGCGGGCUUUUCUUUUCUUUCUUUUCUCUCUCUCUCUUUUUUUCUCUCAUUGGUAGGAAGAAAAGAGGGGACAGAUAGAUCAGAUAUUUGCCACCCCCAUCCUCUUGGAUCCGUGCUGUUCUGACUCCAUUCCUGUGGGAAAAUAGCCUUUGGAAUUGGGUUCUGGUUUCGUUUUGCACUAAAGGUGGGCAUGGAGAGAAUGGGGACCUUGGACGUUCUGCCCUACAGAUCAGGGUCUGAAAACCGGAUUCCCUUUUUCCAACACACAUUUACCCACCCAGUGGUACUAGGCGUUGCGGCCGCUGAUCCCGCCUGACCCGGGUUCCCAAGCCAACCGCCUAGACCCGUCAGUGCUUAGAAAACAAACUCGGCCACACUGAACCAGACAACCCCGUUGGAGGGCCCGAAAUUGUUCCCGCGGUCGGUUGGUGCAGACCUUAAGCUCCUUGUUGUUGUUGGAGUAAAUAGUUAUUCCUGAUUGGUCAAGUGUAGGGUUCUUUUUAAAGGGGGACUGGGGGGAAGCUUCAAACACCUGCAGGGUGGGGGCAGAAAGGCAUUUGCAAUUCCCUGGGCUGCUUGGCGACGACAGGAGGUAAUUCCCAGCCAUUGACCCCCAUUUCUCUCUCUCCCUCCCUCUCGCCCUCCCUCUUUCUCUCCACCCCCAUCUUUCCUGGAAACUGGCUUUGGGCGCGGCAGACUGCCCAGGACCACACCGUGGCCUAACUGCUGGUCUCUCAGCGAGAGAGGGGAAAAGCAAAGAUCCCCGUCCGCAGCUUGGACCUUGGCUCCUGCCUCUCUCCAGUGGCGGAGUGGAGAUCCUAUUCAGAGGGGCCGGUUUCUCUAAAUAUGCCCCAGGAUGACGGAGCGGCCGCCCAGCGAGGCGGCCCACAGUGACCCCCCGCUCGAGGGACGGGACGCGGCCGCGGCCGAGGCCCGCAUGGCCCCCCCGCACCUGGUACUGCUGAACGGCGUCGCCAAGGAGACAAGCCGCGCGGCCCCUGCGGAGCCCCCGGUCAUCGAGCUGGGCGCUCGCAGCGGUCCGGGGGGCGGCCCCGCCGGUGGGGGCGGCGCCGCGCGGGACUUAAAGGGCCGCGACGCGGCGGCGGCGGCCGAAGCGCGCCAUCGGGUGCCCACCACGGAGCUGUGCAGACCUCCGGGGCCCGCGCCCGCCUCGGCCCCUGCGGAGCUGCCCGGCGACGGCCGCAUGGUGCAGCUGAGCCCGCCCGCGCUGGCGGCCCCCCCCGCCCCCGGCCGCGCGCUGCUCUACAGCCUCAGCCAGCCGCUGGCCUCGCUCGGCAGUGGGUUCUUUGGGGAGCCAGAUGCCUUCCCUAUGUUCGCCACCAACAACCGAGUGAAGAGGAGACCCUCCCCUUAUGAGAUGGAGAUUACUGAUGGUCCCCACACCAAAGUAGUGCGACGCAUCUUCACCAACAGCCGAGAACGAUGGCGGCAGCAGAAUGUGAAUGGGGCCUUUGCUGAGCUCCGCAAGCUGAUCCCCACACAUCCCCCAGACAAGAAGCUUAGCAAGAAUGAGAUCCUCCGCUUGGCCAUGAAGUACAUAAACUUCCUGGCCAAGCUGCUCAAUGACCAGGAGGAGGAGGGUACCCAGCGGGCCAAGCCUGGCAAGGACCCCGUGGUGGGGGUUGGUGGUGGAGGCGGUGGGGGAGGGGGCGGUGCACCUCCUGAUGACCUCCUGCAGGACGUACUGUCCCCGAACUCCAGCUGCGGCAGCUCGCUGGAUGGGGCGGCCAGCCCGGACAGCUACACAGAAGAGCCGGCCCCCAAGCACACAGCCCGCAGCCUCCAUCCCACCAUGCUGCCGGCCGCUGAUGGAGCAGGUCCUCGGUGAUGGGGCCGGGGCCGUUCAGGACCAGCCGGGAGGGCACCCUCAGGCCGCCGGGCCCGUGGGCUUCAGGGCAGGUGGGGUGAGGAUUGGGCAGCUCUGAAGCAGGGCAAUGGACUCGAUGAGCUUUCCUUGGUGUCUGAACUUGGCAGAGCUCUAACUGCCCCCAGGGCAGCUUCCCUGACUUCUGCCUCAGUGGGAGAACAGAAAAAUGGAGCAAAGUGGUAGGUACUUUUUAUGAAGACGGCACGGUCUUCCCCCUUCCCCCAAUCCCUAAGACUUCUCCAGUAAGAAGCUGGACUGACUCUGCUUUUGGCCUAGAGCUUAGGGGCCUUGUCUUUGACAAGACCUGGGGUUAUCAGCUCUCCCUGGCAGCAUCCAGCAGCCUCUGCCUUGCCUUUAGCCCCUCCCAAGCUGGCCGGUGUGGCUUGUGUGGCCACUCUGUCCAAAUAUGUAGGUACCCAGUCGCCGCCCAUUUCUGGGUGAGCCCCAUCUUCACCCAGGCCCAUGUCGGUCCACCCAGCUUGCCAGCUGCUGUAGACAGUCACAAGCCUCGAGGUGCCUUCUACAGGGCCUGGUUGAAGAAGAUGGCCAGUGGACAGCCUGCUCUCAACUAGCUGGGCCAGAGGGUCAGAAAACCCAGUAGCCCUUACUGCUUGCCCCGGGGAUCAAAGCUCUGCUUUCUCCCCACUGAGACUUGCCUUCCUAAUCCUUGCGGGGAUUGAGUCUGUAGCUGAGAGCCUGCCUUGGCAGGCCUCAUGAAGGCAGAGAGAGGGAGAAAGGUGAGUGUGAAAUUGAACCAGAGCUCUUUGGGGCUUUGGGUUCGAAUCCUGGCGGUGUCUCAGAGCAGCCUGCCUGUACUCUCCACUCCCCGCCGCUGUUCUAGUGGCGAGCCAAUGGCUGUGUGCCGAUGGCCGUGUGCCGAUGGCCAUGCGCCGCUGCUUAGCGUGGAUGUGCAGCCCCAUCUGUGGGUCUCCCGAUGCUCUUCUCCGGGGUGUGUGUCUGCUGACGGUCUGGUCUGAACCCAGCUGAGCACAAACCCUGUCCUGCGAAUUCCUGGCAUUUGGGAUUUUUGCUUGACUUUAGUUAUUGGUGAGAUCUUUAGGUCUUGAUAAGACCCAGGCUGUAGCCCCACUUGGAAGGCAGGGGGAAAACCAAUCAGAGACCAGGCCCUGGCUGAGAUCCAGACAAGUGCACAUUCACGCAGCAGAAUCUCCAGCACCCCUGGAUUCUACAACUCUCAGUCAUCUAGGGUGUGUUUGGAAGGCUGGCUUACCACCACAGGAGCACCCCCCUCUGAGAGCUGUACAUGAAAUUUUUGUAAAUCGAACCCUUAUCCUUCAUCUUUUAAAGAAAUACUACUGCAAGUCCUUUUGUAAAGUGAAGAAUUUUUUUUGUAGAGUGGACCACUGCCCCUUGUUGAUCUCUUGUGUCAAUCCAGGUGGUGGGACAUGGUUUUCUUAAGGCCAGGCCUGCCUGUGACAUGUGUUCCACACCCAUGGAACAAACCCCGCACAAGUCCUAUACACGUGUCAUUGUACCCUCAAGUCACCGCAGCCACCUCCCACCAGAUUCCGUCUUUGAGGUUAAAGGGAAGACAGUCCCACCCAGUGAAGGGCCUUGAGCAGAGCCCUGUGCUCACAGGGCACAAACCUGGCUCUGUCCCCUCCCUCUUAAGUUGUGAGGUCCAGUUUGUGAGUAGGGGAGCAACGUGGUAAUCCUUUAGCACUCAGACUCUCUGUCCAUUUCAGACCCCCAGCAUCCUAUUUUGCUGAACAUUAGGCUUGUUUUCUUUCCAAUGCUUAGAAGCUCCUGUGAGGAAUCCCAUCUGUGUAAAGAGGGAGCUCCUAUCCUCGGUCCUAAAGCUUCGUUUGUUUCCCGGUGGAUUAAUUUGACUCGGAGUGAACAGUGGCCACAGUAUGGAUGGAUGGAGAGGUUUUAGGAGACGGAUCGCUCAUUCUAUCAGGAACUCAGGCUUCUGGCUUCCUCUUCUCUCAGACUUGCAGAAUGACGUGGAUAAGUUAUCCCUCUCUCAGUGUCGUUUCUCAUAAAAUAUCCUGGCUUGGCCUGUCCACUAGGGCUGUGGAUUCCAUUCCAAGUGAAAUCAUGAAAGUAGAAGCAUUUUGAGACCAGAAAGAACUCUUUCGACCUCAGCAUCAUUCCUGCAAUGGGGUUUCCCAUCCUGAGUCCGGGGCCUGGGCAGUGGGCCAGUCUGCCUGACUGUGCAGGAUCUGGGUAAUUUAGGUUCCAAACCACUUUUGCCUGAGUUAUCCUGAUUGUCCUCAUUUCUCCAGGUUGACCUCAUUUGUGUCUCCUUCCAAGGAGAGGUAGAGGAGUGAGAAUGGAAAAAGAUAUGGGCAAAGAACAUGUAAGACAUAACACAGCUUCCCGCAACGGGCCUGGGUAGGGAUGGGCAAAGCCUCAUGUUUUUGUAAGACUGACUGAAGAUCCAAAAUUUUAAUGUUCAUCUGCACACCCCCUCGCCCCACCCACUACACCCUCCUCCUUCCUCUGUCUCGUCACCUAUGAAGAAAUGGCAACCUCCCGAGAAUAAUACCUGUGCCAAGGGAAAAGAUGUAAAGGGGGAAAAAAUUGAGAGCAGAGAUGAUUGUAAGAACUGGAGGGAUUCGCAUCUUUUCAGGAAAAUUCUUAUGCUUUUAUUAGCGGUGACAAACGACAAGAUGGUACAGCCUUUCUUCUUUUCCAAAAACAGAGCAAAGGGCCCAGCAUCUGUAGUCAGCCGACAACUAUCUCGGCCUUUGGGGAUGGUCUGGUCGUACUUGUGAUUCCGAUGAAGAGGAGUAACCGCUCCAGGUACCUUGACCUUUGUACAGCCCGGAGGCCAACACUGUGGGCGUGACUCUUUAGCGACACAACCCUUGUGGUGAUGAUGUGUGUAUAUAUAUAAGGAUAUAUUGGGAAGAUUUCUAAAUAAAAGUUUUACA